GAAGUUCAAGAAGAAGGCCUUCAAAGCAACAUGGGAUGAGUCAAGUGAUUCCGAAGAAGAGGAGGUUGGUGAUGAAAUUGCCAACAUGUGCUUCAUGGCUCUAGAGGAAAGCUCCGAUGAGGUAACUACUCUUGAUGACUUUACUUCAAAUGAUGAUGAUGUUGAGUUUUCAUAUGAUGAACUUGUAGGUGCUUUAAAAUUGAUGAAUGAUGAGCUUGAAAAGAGUCAUAGGAAAAAUAAAAUUUUGAAAUGUGAGUUAGCUAGCUUUAAAAAGGAAAGUGAGAACUCACCUAAGGAAC
rnacentral:lncRNA from 1 species